UUGUUACGACUUCACCCCAAUCAUGAGCUGUACCUUGGAAGGCUGCCUCCUUGCGGUUAGCACACCUGCUUCUAGUACGGCCCACUUUCGUGAUGUGACGGGCGGUGUGUACAAGGCCCGGGAGCGUAUUCACCGCGGCGUUCUGAUCCGCGAUUACUAGCGAUUCCAGCUUCAUGGAGUCGAGUUGCAGACUCCAAUCCGAACUGAGGCCGGCUUUUUCCGAUUAGCUCCCCCUCACGGGUUUGCGACGGUUUGUACCGACCAUUGUAGCACGUGUGUAGCCCUGGACAUAAAGGCCAUGAGGACUUGACGUCAUCCCCACCUUCCUCCUCGUUAUCCGAGGCAGUUUCACUAGAGUGCCCGGCUUGACCCGAUGGCAACUAGGGAUAAGGGUUGCGCUCGUUGCGGGACUUAACCCAACAUCUCACGACACGAGCUGACGACAGCCAUGCAGCACCUAUGCAGCAGC
rnacentral:rRNA from 1 species